rnacentral:rRNA from 1 species
UACGGAGGGAGCUAGCGUUGUUCGGAAUUACUGGGCGUAAAGCGUACGUAGGCGGUUAUUCAAGUCGAGUGUGAAAGCCCCCCGGCUCAACUGGGGAGGGUCAUUCGAUACUGAUCGACUCGAAGGCAGGAGAGGGUAGUGGAAUUCCCGGUGUAGUGGUGAAAUGCGUAGAUAUCGGGAGGAACACCAGUGGCGAAGGCGGCUCACUGGACUGGUAUUGACGCUGAGGUGCGAAAGCGUGGGGAGCAAACAGG